AUUGGACGCUGGCGGCAUGCUUUACACAUGCAAGUCGAACGGUAACAGGCCGCAAGGUGCUGACGAGUGGCGAACGGGUGAGUAAUGCAUCGGAACGUGCCCAGUCGUGGGGGAUAACGCAGCGAAAGCUGUGCUAAUACCGCAUACGAUCUAUGGAUGAAAGCGGGGGACCGUAAGGCCUCGCGCGAUUGGAGCGGCCGAUGUCAGAUUAGGUAGUUGGUGGGGUAAAGGCUCACCAAGCCGACGAUCUGUAGCUGGUCUGAGAGGACGACCAGCCACACUGGGACUGAGACACGGCCCAGACUCCUACGGGAGGCAGCAGUGGGGAAUUUUGGACAAUGGGCGCAAGCCUGAUCCAGCAAUGCCGCGUGCAGGAAGAAGGCCUUCGGGUUGUAAACUGCUUUUGUACGGAACGAAACGGUCUGGGUUAAUACCCUGGGCUAAUGACGGUACCGUAAGAAUAAGCACCGGCUAACUACGUGCCAGCAGCCGCAGUAAAAC
rnacentral:rRNA from 1 species